GACGUAGGGCGCGAGCGUUGUCCGGAUUUAUUGGGCGUAAAGAGCUCGUAGGCGGCUUGUCGCGUCGAAUGUGAAAACCCGAGGCUCAACUUCGGGCUUGCAUUCGAUACGGGCAGGCUCGAGUUCGGUAGGGGAGACUGGAAUUCCUGGUGUAGCGGUGAAAUGCGCAGAUAUCGGGAGGAACACCGGUGGCGAAGGCGGUUCUCUGGGCCUGUACUGACGCUGAGGAGCGAAAGCGUGGGGAGCGAACAGG
rnacentral:rRNA from 1 species